GGCAUCUCAGUUCGGAUUGUAGUCUGCAACUCGACUACAUGAAGCUGGAAUCGCUAGUAAUCGCGAAUCAGAAUGUCGCGGUGAAUACGUUCCCGGGUCUUGUACACACCGCCCGUCACACCAUGGGAGUUGGGAAUGCCCGAAGCCGGUGACCUAACCGCAAGGAAGGAGCCGUCGAAGGCAGGCUUGAUAACUGGGGUGAAGUCGUAACAAGGUAGC
rnacentral:rRNA from 1 species